rnacentral:ncRNA from 1 species
AAACUGGUUGAUCCUGCCAGUAGUCAUAUGCUUGUUUCAGAGAUUAAGCCAUGCUUGUCUAAGUACAUACCUUAAAACGGUGAAACCGCGAAAUGCUCAUUAAAUCAGUUAUGGUUCCUUAGAUCAUGCAUACUACAUGCAUAACUGUAGUAAUUCUAGAGCUAAUACAUGCAAUUAUGCCCUGACCCGCAAGGGAACGGGUGC